UACGUAGGGUGCAAGCGUUAAUCGGAAUUACUGGGCGUAAAGCGUGCGCAGGCGGUUUUGUAAGUCUGCCGUGAAAGCCCCGGGCUCAACCUGGGAAUUGCGAUGGAGACUGCAAGGCUUGAAUCUGGCAGAGGGGGGUAGAAUUCCACGUGUAGCAGUGAAAUGCGUAGAGAUGUGGAGGAACACCGAUGGCGAAGGCAGCCCCCUGGGUCAAGAUUGACGCUCAUGCACGAAAGCGUGGGGAGCAAACAGG
rnacentral:rRNA from 1 species